UACUUGCAAUGUAGAGGGUUGAAGAGACUGGUUUCCUUUGCUAAAGUACGAAAACUUGGCUUCCUUUGAUGCUGUAAACAAACAUUGGUUUUCAUGAGACUUGUGCGCAUGCACAACGGCGACAUCUUACGUCAUCCUCCCAGAGCUGCUUCCGUGUACAACUGUUGGUGCAAGCUAGUUUAAAGUGAUUAUUACGUUUUGAAUAUAGAUAAUUAUCUUACAAAAAUGUAUCAAUUCAAUACAGGAGGCCUUGUUCACCCCCCGGAGCAUUUUUUAUUAGGGAUGGAUGGCUUUAUUUCACUAAUUUUGGACUGAUGAUCUGUACUUGGACUUUUUUCUGACUCAAACUCUUUUUUUAAAACUCUGAUUGGAUUUGUCUGAAAGAAUGAAGUCAUAUACUCCUAGGAUGGAUCGAGGUUUUAUGCAGUCCAACCAGUCAAAUGCUCUCAUCUUGGCAGUUCAACAAUGGCCAGUAAAAAUGUUUAAUGAAAUUACAAAGCUUUAUUGUUGCCUUUCACACAAUGUAGUUUUCACAGCAUUUUUUGUCAUUUUUUUCACCCAAUUGCAAUUAUCACACAAAUAUAUGGUACAUUGAUACAUAACGAGAUAGUAUUUUUUAAAACAUUGUCAAUUAUAUUUAUUAUUAUUAUAUUAAUGCAUAGCAACACACUGCAAAAUUAAAAAGCCACACUUAUAGAUCACAAUAAAAAUUUGUAUAAUAUUUUCAGUUUUAGAUAACAUUAUA